AUGCGGUGCUACAUCGCCUACCUUCGCAACGACACCACUGCCUGGGGCGCCACGAGCAGCGGGCUGCCGAUCCAGGUGACCCUCCGCGCUGCCUGCCCGCCGCUCCUCUCCUACUUGUGCGUCCAUUGCCCUGGUCUGACCUUCAUCCGCUCAGCGCCCAGAGUCGUCGCCACCGACGCCGACCUCGUGCUCCUCCGCGUCCCAAUCAACCCCACUGCCCCCAUUGAUGUACGGUCCUGGGAAUACUUCUUAUACAGGCCGCGAGCCCAUCAGCUAGACCUACUCCCUAACCCGCACCCCAGGAGCUUCCACGACUCUGCAACCGCCCUCCUCAGCCGCGAAGAUGGCGCCUGGUACGCAGUCGCCGCCCUCAGCGGUUGUUGCCCGGUGUAUGAGGGCAACAGUGACUCAAUCAUUGGGUGGGAUUUCCAUCUCCACCUGUACCGCUCCUCCGAUUCCGAGGGGUGGAUCACCAUGCCCAUGUCAGUGGAGGAGCUCCUGAGGGACAAGCUUGCCCCGUUACCCGGCGGUGUGGCCGACGACAUGCUGUACCACGAGACGACCAAGACGCUCACAAUUGGCGGUGAGCGAGGUAAGGUCGCUUGGGUGGACCUCUGGCGUGGCAUCUUCCUCUGUGACGUCCUCAGUGAGCGACCAGUUUUCCAAGACAUCCCACUGCCUGUGCCAGCAAGGGGAAACUGGGGUCGUCUCCUCCAACAAUGUGAUCCCAACUAUAUCCGGGAUGUUACCAUCAGUCGGCACAAAGACACUAUCAAGUACAUUGAGAUGGAAAUCUGGUCACCAAAAAAGCUGAUGAAGACCCCUGAUUCUUAUUUGGAAUGGGUGCACGGUAAGCCAACCGUCACCGAGGUCAUCCCUGCUGGAUGGAAGGCCACAACAUGGAGCCUGCCAGUACCGGUUGGUUCAUUCACAGACUGGCAACCUGACUGUGAAGUUGAAGUCAAAGAUGUCACCAUGGAUGCCAGCGACCAACAUCAUUAUAACCUGCUGUCUGAGCUGAGCGGCAGCGACACCGCACCGACAUUGCAGAACCUUCCUAUGGCAUACCCCACUAUAAGCAUAGAUGGCGACAUUGUCUACUUGUUUUCUAGUACGAAAACCAGGCACAUGGAAAAAUUGGAGUUGGUCAUUGCUGUUGAUCUGAGGAAUAAAACCUUUCGAGGAGUAGCUGAGCUUGAUGUCCAGAAUAAUUAUGUUGUCAAACCAGCCUUCUGCACCAGUGAGAUCUGCAUAUACCUGAGGAAGAGUGCAGGCACAUCAGUAGAGCUUAAACGGACUAAAAGAGAAGCUGUUAAGCCAGUUGGCAAAAAAGAGGGUAAACCAACUAGGGUGCAUGUGAAUGAACUGACCUGCAGAAGGCGCCCGGUGAAGAAGAGUGUACUGGAGGUUGUUAAGCUGCUAGAAGCUACUUGGUAA
rnacentral:rRNA from 1 species